AACACAUGCAAGUCGAGGGGCAGCAUGGUCUUAGCUUGCUAAGACUGAUGGCGACCGGCGCACGGGUGAGUAACACGUAUCCAACCUGCCGUCUACUCUUGGACAGCCUUCUGAAAGGAAGAUUAAUACAAGAUGGCAUCAUGAGUCCGCAUGUUCACAUGAUUAAAGGUAUUCCGGUAGACGAUGGGGAUGCGUUCCAUUAGAUAGUAGGCGGGGUAACGGCCCACCUAGUCUUCGAUGGAUAGGGGUUCUGAGAGGAAGGUCCCCCACAUUGGAACUGAGACACGGUCCAAACUCCUACGGGAGGCAGCAGUGAGGAAUAUUGGUCAAUGGGCGAGAGCCUGAACCAGCCAAGUAGCGUGAAGGAUGACUGCCCUAUGGGUUGUAAACUUCUUUUAUAAAGGAAUAAAGUCGGGUAUGCAUACCCGUUUGCAUGUACUUUAUGAAUAAGGAUCGGCUAACUCCGUGCCAGCAGCCGCGGUAAUACGGAGGAUCCGAGCGUUAUCCGGAUUUAUUGGGUUUAAAGGGAGCGUAGAUGGAUGUUUAAGUCAGUUGUGAAAGUUUGCGGCUCAACCGUAAAAUUGCAGUUGAUACUGGAUAUCUUGAGUGCAGUUGAGGCAGGCGGAAUUCGUGGUGUAGCGGUGAAAUGCUUAGAUAUCACGAAGAACUCCGAUUGCGAAGGCAGCCUGCUAAGCUGCAACUGACAUUGAGGCUCGAAAGUGUGGGUAUCAAACAGGAUUAGAUACCCUGGUAGUCCACACGGUAAACGAUGAAUACUCGCUGUUUGCGAUAUACUGCAAGCGGCCAAGCGAAAGCGUUAAGUAUUCCACCUGGGGAGUACGCCGGCAACGGUGAAACUCAAAGGAAUUGACGGGGGCCCGCACAAGCGGAGGAACAUGUGGUUUAAUUCGAUGAUACGCGAGGAACCUUACCCGGGCUUAAAUUGCAGAUGAAUUACGGUGAAAGCCGUAAGCCGCAAGGCAUCUGUGAAGGUGCUGCAUGGUUGUCGUCAGCUCGUGCCGUGAGGUGUCGGCUUAAGUGCCAUAACGAGCGCAACCCUUGUUGUCAGUUACUAACAGGUUCCGCUGAGGACUCUGACAAGACUGCCAUCGUAAGAUGUGAGGAAGGUGGGGAUGACGUCAAAUCAGCACGGCCCUUACGUCCGGGGCUACACACGUGUUACAAUGGGGGGUACAGAGGGCCGCUACCACGCGAGUGGAUGCCAAUCCCCAAAACCUCUCUCAGUUCGGACUGGAGUCUGCAACCCGACUCCACGAAGCUGGAUUCGCUAGUAAUCGCGCAUCAGCCACGGCGCGGUGAAUACGUUCCCGGGCCUUGUACACACCGCCCGUCAAGCCAUGGGAGCCGGGGGUACCUGAAGUGCGUAACCGCGAGGAGCGCCCUAGGGUAAAACUGGUGACUGGGGCUAAGUCAUA
rnacentral:rRNA from 1 species